rnacentral:rRNA from 1 species
AAGUGGAUAGUGAAACCUGGUGGCUCAACCAUACAGACUAUUAUCUAAACUGCUCCGCUCGAGAGCGUUAGGGGUAGCUGGAAUUUCUAGUGUAGGAGUGAAAUCCGUAGAUAUUAGAAAGAACACCGAUAGCGUAGGCAGGCUACUGGGACGUUUCUGACACUAAGGCACGAAAGCGUGGGGAGCAAACGGAUUAAAUACCCGGUAGUCCACGCCGUAAACGAUGGAUACUA